CCCAGCUGUAGGCAACUGCCUAGGUUUCCUUGCAACUAAGCAAGUGUUACACUGCUGGAAGAAAAGCUACCAAUAGCUGGCAGGCAUUCUGGGCUUGGUUAAUGCCAAAUCUGAAUUAACUAUAUCAAUGGGACAGCAUAGUUGCCUAUUCUAUCCUAUGAUUUUUGAAGAUAUG
ensembl:snoRNA SNORA74 Small nucleolar RNA SNORA74